rnacentral:rRNA from 1 species
CCUACGGGAGGCAGCAGUGAGGAAUAUUGGUCAAUGGAGGCAACUCUGAACCAGCCAUGCCGCGUGCAGGAUGACGGCCCUACGGGUUGUAAACUGCUUUUAUAUAGGAAGAAACCUUCUUACGUGUAGGAAGCUGACGGUACUAUAUGAAUAAGGAUCGGCUAACUCCGUGCCUGCAGCCGCGGUAAUACGGAGGAUCCAAGCGUUAUCCGGAAUCAUUGGGUUUAAAGGGCGCGUAGGCGGAUUAAUAAGUCAGAGGUGAAAUCCUACAGCUCAACUGUAGAACUGCCUUUGAUACUGUUAGUCUUGAAUCUAGUUGAAGUAGGCGGAAUGUAACAUGUAGCGGUGAAAUGCAUAGAGAUGUUACAGAACACCGAUUGCGAAGGCAGCUUACUAAGCUAGUAUUGACGCUGAUGCACGAAAGCGUGGGGAGCGAACAGGAUUAGAUACCCUGGUAGUCCACGCCGUAAACGAUGAUAACUCGUUGGUGGCGAUACACAGUCACUGACCAAGCGAAAGUAUUAAGUUAUCCACCUGGGGAGUACGCCGGCAACGGUGAAACUCAAAGGAAUUGACGG